GCAAAAUUCUUUAGUCCAUAGGUUUAUGUUGCUUUUGCAGAGGGAAGAAGAGACACUUGUGGAAGAAAAGGUGGACUAGACUGAACAGCAGAGAACUGUCUGCAGAAGCCACACUGAACUAAGUUUGCUGCUUAAUAUAGCAAACUCUGGGAAGACCUUUCUGUGAAGAGCUAUCUGAGAACAAUUGGAGACUCUUUGGUGUUCCUACUCGCCUCCCACAGCCCUUUGUGUCAGCAGCUCAGCAGAGGGAGUCUGACAGCAAGAUUCUUUUGUCAUGUGAAAUCUCAGGAGGUGUGCAGGGAGACAAAUGGGGGUUCGUGUUCACAACCUAGAUCUACAAAUGUAAGAUGGUUUCACUCUGGAACACCAGAGAAUGUGCCUCUACUGCUGCACACAGCAGCUUUCUUUCCAGCUUUAUACCAGUAGUUCACAUGCUCUUAUGAAAAUUUGGUACUUGUAUUUGGCCAUAAUUCUAUAUUGCACUUUUAACUGACA
rnacentral:lncRNA from 1 species